CACCCAGGACGGUGGAUCACUCGGCUCGUGGGUCGAUGAAGAACGCAGCAAAUUGCGCGUCGACAUGUGAACUGCAGGACACAUGAACAUCGACGUUUCGAACGCACAUUGCGGUCCAUGGAGUCCGUUCCCGGGCCACGUCUGGCUGAGGGUCG
rnacentral:rRNA from 1 species